CCUACGGGAGGCAGCAGUGGGGAAUAUUGGACAAUGGGCGCAAGCCUGAUCCAGCCAUGCCGCGUGAGUGAUGAAGGCCUUAGGGUUGUAAAGCUCUUUUAUCCGGGACGAUAAUGACGGUACCGGAGGAAUAAGCCCCGGCUAACUCCGUGCCAGCAGCCGCGGUAAU
rnacentral:rRNA from 1 species